rnacentral:lncRNA from 1 species
UGCUCUAAAUGUAGAAGUUUACCAACUUUAAAAAAAAAAAAAAGUUUCUAACAUGACACACCCUUCUUUCACUUUGAUAACAAAUUUAAUGAAGAAGUACAGAUACAGACAGAGGAAAGAUCAUAAUGACAAAAUAUGGUACCUUUGUUAAAAUGAGCAAAGAGCUUGAAGUGAAAUAACCAUUUCUUAAAUUAAAUUGACAUACAUUUAAUUGCAACAAUUUUAAUCUCAUACUUUAUUACUUUUAUUACUUUUUUGUGAAGACUCAAGGUCUCCGCUAUAUUUCGUAAGGUUCAAAUUUUCAAAGAUUUUUUUUGGUGGACUUUAUUACCACCCUGAUAAAAUGACAAUUGCUAUGAUUUAAAGAUGUACCUUGGCUAUGUAAGGCAUGUGUAUUGAAUAAGGCAAAACUAACUUAAUCAAUUAAUAUUUAAAGCCUUAAUACCUCAGUGUACAUCAUGUGUUCAUAAUACAAAACAAAUGAAAAUAUACCAAAUAUUGACAGACUGAUAAAGAGACAGCAUAAAUACUACAAAGUAAAUAUCUUACGAUUAAAUAAAUAUAGAUUGAUUACAGACCAUCCAAUUGAUGUAAAGUUAUUUUUAAACUUUCUACCUAUAUGUGUACUUUUCUACCAGAAGCCCAAAAUGAUCAAAUUAAUUUUACAAUAUAGACUGUUUUAACCUAUAGCUAUGCUUCAAUGAUUUGAUUAACCUUAUCCCAUUAUAU